CUUGAGAAAAAUCGUUGCCUCAAACUUGAGAAAAGUCGUUGGUUCAAGAACCGGAACAAAGAGAGAUUCGGAGAUGAACAGAGAAGAGAGAACGAAAAUUAAUUUAGCCGACAAAUAAUGAAAUUUUGAGGAAAUCAAACUUGAGUAGAUCAAAAGGUGUAAAGUUUAUCGUGGUGGUACGAGGUAAAACGGAACAAAAAUACCCCGUCAUUAAAUACGCAAGUAGCCUAAUGUUGUCAAAAGGACCAACACGAUUUUUGAUUGAGAAAACCUCAACAACCGAGAGGAACUCAAAGAAAGGAAGUCACCUGUUAAUCGUAAACUUGGCAAUACAGGAGAGAAGAAGGAUGGCCAUGGAAGAAUGGUGCACAAGUUAGCAUCUUAGCGAUGUUGGUUGUGUUCCCUGCUUCCAUGGCCGCUUCUGCAGUAUGCUGCCCUCCCAAUUGCACCAACCCAUCGCUUCUCCCUAAUUUCUUCUGAUCAAACUCAGGAAUGAGAGGACUGGAUUUUUGGCGGGGUUCCUUCACACUAGUCACUAAUGAGGCUUGAAGAAGUUGACUACAGAUUUAUCUUUGCUCAUUGGUGAUAGUCUAGUAUGUUGCAGUUUAGGCGUGCAAUAAUUUAAAUCGAAGUAUGUUGUUGCUGUUGAUGUAUGUAAAUGUCGACCUUAACAUUUAAUUAGUUGAACAACUCCUUGUAAUGAUUUUCAGUUUAAGAGAAGUUAGUUUUAGCUA